UAACAUAACACACGCUUCUACGAAAUUAUCAUCAUUUGAAAUAGCGCUGUUUAAAUGAAAUUUAUGAGGCUUUUAAUGUUGUGUUACAUGCUGACUUUUUUCAUAAAACAAGAAUUUUCCUAAUAUCCGAUAUAUAGACAAUGAUUUUAUUGCGGAAAAAAGAUAAUAAGGUGAAAACGAUAAAAUAAAUUUGCCUCCCCCAAUAUAGUGAGUAAGCUGUCCAGGGUAAAAUGUGAUAUAUGAUACAUGUGCUGCGCAUCAAAAAUGAUUACUAACUCAGGGAUUAUUCUAAAGACAAGAGAUUUUAUAGUCGAAUGACUUCAAUAUGGAAACCAAUGGAAAAUCC